rnacentral:rRNA from 1 species
AAGUCGAGCGAACUGACGAGGAGCUUGCUCCUUUGACGUUAGCGGCGGACGGGUGAGUAACACGUGGGUAACCUACCUAUAAGACUGGAAUAACUCCGGGAAACCGGGGCUAAUGCCGGAUAACAUAUCGAACCGCAUGGUUCGAUAGUGAAAGACGGUCUUGCUGUCACUUAUAGAUGGACCCGCGCCGUAUUAGCUAGUUGGUGAGGUAACGGCUCACCAAGGCAACGAUACGUAGCCGACCUGAGAGGGUGAUCGGCCACACUGGAACUGAGACACGGUCCAGACUCCUACGGGAGGCAGCAGUAGGGAAUCUUCCGCAAUGGGCGAAAGCCUGACGGAGCAACGCCGCGUGAGUGAUGAAGGUCUUCGGAUCGUAAAGCUCUGUUGUUAGGGAAGAACAAAUGUGUAAGUAACUGUGCACAUCUUGACGGUACCUAACCAGAAAGCCACGGCUAACUACGUGCCAGCAGCCGCGGUAAUACGUAGGUGGCAAGCGUUAUCCGGAAUUAUUGGGCGUAAAGCGCGCGUAGGCGGUUUUUUAAGUCUGAUGUGAAAGCCCACGGCUCAACCGUGGAGGGUCAUUGGAAACUGGAAAACUUGAGUGCAGAAGAGGAAAGUGGAAUUCCAUGUGUAGCGGUGAAAUGCGCAGAGAUAUGGAGGAACACCAGUGGCGAAGGCGGCUUUCUGGUCUGUAACUGACGCUGAUGUGCGAAAGCGUGGGGAUCAACAUGAUUAGAUACCCUGGUAGUCCACGCGUAACGAUGA